UCCACUCUGUGGAUCCCGACCCUCACAUUAUCCACAUACACUUGUGCACUGUUGGUUAGGUGUGAACCUUUGGUUUAUCGCCUGCCAACGCCAAUUAUACAAACUCUGAGAACUAUGAAUGUGAAUUUAACUUGCCAAUUUUUGGCGAAAUUAAAUACAACUUUCGACAACGGAUCUCUUGGUUCUCCCAUCGAUGAAGAACGCAGCGAAUUGCGAUAAGUAAUGUGAAUUGCAGAAUUCAGUGAAUCAUCGAAUCUUUGAACGCACCUUGCGCUCCCUGGUAUUCCUAGGAGCAUGCCUGUUUGAGUGUCAUGAAUUCCUCAAACCCCAAUGUUUUGCAAAAUUCAUUGCUUGGGUUUGGUUGUGGGCCUAUAUUGCUGCUUCACGGCAGCUGGCCUUAAAGAUAUUAGCUGGACUCUCCGAGACUCUUGGAUAGUUCCACUUGAUGUGAUAAAUUUGCAUCGGUGGGUCAAGACUAUGCUUGGGAAGUGUGAGAAGUCUGCUUCUAAUCCGGCAAGAGGUUCCAUCCUCGACCCAAUUCAUUUACAACUCUGGCCUCAAAUCAGGUAGGACUACCCGCUGAACUUAAGCAUAU
rnacentral:rRNA from 1 species